rnacentral:rRNA from 1 species
CCCUUAGAUGUUCUGGGCUGCACGCGCGCUACACUGAUGCGCUCAACGAGUUUACGACCUUGCCCGGAAGGGUUGGGUAAUCUUUUUAAAACGCAUCGUGAUGGGGAUAGAUUAUUGCAAUUAUUAAUCUUUAACGAGGAAUUCCUAGUAAGCGCGAGUCAUCAGCUCGUGCUGAUUACGUCCCUGCCCUUUGUACACACCGCCCGUCGCUCCUACCGAUUGAAUGGUUUAGUGAGAAUUUUGGACUGGAACUCCCUUGCUCAGCAAUGGGCGAGGGGGAGUCCGGGAAGCUAUUCUAACUGUAUCAUUUAGAGGAAGUAAAAGUCGUAACA